rnacentral:misc_RNA from 1 species
UUAUAGGGGUGGGCAUCCAAUUGACGCGGCAAGGGUAUUGGAGAGAAAAAGGCAGUCCACUGAGAAAUAUUCACUUGUUACUUAGUGAAAAAGGAAAAAAAAAAUAUCCUCAAUUCAUUGAUCGAUCAUCAUUUCAUCAAAAACCCAUGACUAGAAUUUAAUCCAAUUCGAUUUCCCUUCUAUACAAACCCAUUCCCCAUACUCUUGUAUCUCUUCUUGUUUUGUGUCUAUGAUCGGUGUAUAGAUACUGGGAAUAAUAGAUGAUGAAUGGGAGUAGGCCAACGGUGCAUCCGGUGGAGGCACCGCCGUUGAACGAUGGGCCUCUGAACCGGCCGAGAAUGAGUAUGAAGGACGUCCAAGGCAUGCCAGGGACUCACGGUGGCCUCGCGCUUCGUCUUCUUCAGUUCUUGUUCGGUCUUGUCUCUGUCUGCGUCAUGGCCACCACCAGUGACUUCCGCUCUGUCACAGCUUUUUGCUACCUGGUCAUUGCUGUUAGCUUGCAAAUAUCAUGGAGCUUGUCCUUGGCUAUUGUGGAUGCUUAUGCUCUUUUGGUGAGAAGAAGUCUCAGGAAACGAGUAAUUGUUCGACUUUUUGCCAUUGGUGAUGGGAUUACAUCAACCCUUAUAUUUGCAGCGGCCAGUGCAUCUGCUGGUAUCACAGUCCUAAUUGGCAAUGAUCUCGAUAAGUGUUCUAUGAACCACUGCUCUAGGUUUGAAGCUGCUACAGCCAUGGCUUUUAUCAGCUGGUUUGCCAUGACACCGUCCUUUCUCAUGAAUUUCUGGUCAUUGGCUUCCCAUUGAGAAUUGGUUAGAUGGAAUCUUUAGUCUCAGGCGACUAUAUUUUAUUUAACUAUUUUUCUCUAUGGUGUGCCAUGGAGAUUUGAUUGCAACUACUUUGUAGAUGGAUAAAUUUUGUUACAGUUUGGUUAGGGGAGUUUCAUUUUUGAGAUCAGAAAUUAAAGUUUGGUUUUUCUAAUUGCCAGAAAUAUGUAGAAUCUGGUUAGUUAGAAAUUACCAUGACUUGAAGCAUUUAGGAGAAUACAAAUCCUAGUGCUUUUUGCAUAAGCCUUGCCAGUCGACCGUGUCUUUGAGAAGCUUGUGCCAUCUGAACACAAUUUACAUGCAUUAUACAAAGUAGGAAUUCCAGGGUUAAUCGGUGGGUGUACGGUUGCAUAAUAAAUUCUAUGAUGCAAUUCUGUUAUUAGUUACAGUUUCAUGAUAAUUGACGCUGAAUUGUAUACAGUUAUAUGUUUUAUAAUUUUUCAUGGUCAGUUGUAAA